rnacentral:rRNA from 1 species
CGCCUUGCCAGCCCGCUCAGAACUUAAAGGAAUUGACGGGGCCCGCACAAGCGGUGGAGCAUGUGGUUUAAUUCGUAAGCAACGCGAAGAACCUUACCAGGCCUUGACAUGCAGAGAACUUUCCAGAGAUGGAUUGGUGCCUUCGGGAACUCUGACACAGGUGCUGCAUGGCUGUCGUCAGCUCGUGUCGUGAGAUGUUGGGUUAAGUCCCGUAACGAGCGCAACCCUUGUCCUUAGUUACCAGCACGUUAUGGUGGGCACUCUAAGGAGACUGCCGGUGUUAAACCGGAGGAAGGUGGGGAUGACGUCAAGUCCUCAUGGCCUUUAUGACCAGGGCUACACACGUACUACAAUGGCCGAUACAAAGGGCAGCGACACUGCGAGGUGAAGCCAAUCCCGUAAAAUCGGUCUCAGUCCGGAUUGGAGUCUGCAACUCGACUCCAUGAAGUUGGAAUCGCUAGUAAUCGUGGAUCAGCAUGCCACGGUGAAUACGUUCCCGGGCCUU